rnacentral:rRNA from 1 species
AGGAUCCCACCCGUUCCCAUCCCGAACACGGUCGUAAAGACUUACAGAGGCGAAAAUACUUGGCGGGCCACCGCCUGGAAAGAUAGCUCGUUGCCAGCA